AACGAACGCUGGCGGCAUGCCUAACACAUGCAAGUCGAACGAGACCUUCGGGUCUAGUGGCGCACGGGUGCGUAACGCGUGGGAACCUGCCCUUAGGUUCGGAAUACCUCCCCGAAAGGGGUGCUAAUACCGGAUAAUAUCUUCGGACCAAAGAUUUAUCGCCUUUGGAUGGGCCCGCGUUGGAUUAGCUAGUUGGUAGGGUAAAAGCCUACCAAGGCGACGAUCCAUAGCUGGUCUGAGAGGAUGAUCAGCCACACUGGGACUGAGACACGGCCCAGACUCCUACGGGAGGCAGCAGUGGGGAAUAUUGGACAAUUGGGGAAAGCCUGAACCAGCAAUGCCGCGUGAGUGAUGAAGGCCUUAGGGUUGUAAAGCUCUUUUACCCGGGAUGAUAAUGACAGUACCGGGAGAAUAAGCUCCGGCUAACUCCGUG
rnacentral:rRNA from 1 species